GAUGAACGCUGGCGGCGUGCCUAAUACAUGCAAGUCGAGCGAACGGACGAGAAGCUUGCUUCUCUGAUGUUAGCGGCGGACGGGUGAGUAACACGUGGAUAACCUACCUAUAAGACUGGGAUAACUUCGGGAAACCGGAGCUAAUACCGGAUGAUAUUUUGAACCGCAUGGUUCAAAAGUGAAAGACGGUCUUGCUGUCACUUAUAGAUGGAUCCGCGCUGCAUUAGCUAGUUGGUAAGGUAACGGCUUACCAAGGCAACGAUGCAUAGCCGACCUGAGAGGGUGAACGGGCAACAUGGAACUGAGGAAAGGUCCCGGACCCUAACGGAGGGCGGCGUAGGGGAUUCUUCGGAAUGGGCGAAAGCCUGACGGAGCAACGCCGCGUGAGUGAUGAAGGUCUUCGGAUCGUAAAACUCUGUUAUUAGGGAAGAACAUAUGUGUAAGUAACUGUGCACAUCUUGACGGUACCUAAUCAGAAAGCCACGGCUAACUACGUG
rnacentral:rRNA from 1 species